GUGAAAUGGAAUCAACGUUUGUACAUUCGAUUUCAUGUUGAUUCCAUCUCAUGA
rnacentral:pre_miRNA from 1 species